CCCCCCCCCCCCCCCCCCCCCCCCCCCCCCCCCCCCCCCCCCCCCCCCCCCCCCCCCCCCCCCCCCCACCACGGUCCCGUCACGGUGGCCACGCGGUCACACCCCGCGCUGUUCCCACCCGCCCGUGCCUGUGCAGUUCCGCUUCGUGCCACGGGGUGUCCCCGAGGCUCAGCAGAUGAGCGAGCGGAGGCUCCGGGUUUGGGAAAAAGGAAAAAAAAAUUCUGGGACUGAGCCUUGAGAAAAUUGCGUGGAGAACCCAGAUCAGCCUUCAGUAUCUCAAGGGACUCUUGGUCAGGACUUGUAGGAAUAGGACAAGGAGUAAGGGGUUCACAUUGGAAGGGGAAAUAGAUACACAGAAGGAAUUCUUUACUGGGAUGGAUGGUGGUGGGACACUGGAACAGGUUGCAGAUGCUCCCCCAGUCCUGGCAGUGUCCAAAGCCAGGCUGAAUUGAGCAUCCUGCUCUAGUGGAUAGCACAAAUUGAAGGGAGGAAAAAAACAACAAAAACCCAAAACAAACAAACAAAAAAUGAAACCAACCAAACAAACAAAAAAAAAAAAACCCAAACAAAAAACCAACAAAACAAAAACCACCUGGAACUGAAAAAGAGAUUUCUGGAAAUGGGAUCAAAAUCAAGGGAUUAGUAUGGAAAAGGGUAAAUCUUGCAAAUAUGAGCCACCAAGUGUUGGGUUUGUGCCUCUGAGGCCAGCUGGCCCCAGAGUGAUGCUCAUGGAGCAUCAUGGAGUGAUGGAACCUCCCCCUCACCAGCCUGCAAGGCAGAAGCUGCUCCCCUCCAGCUGCUGGCACAGAGACCGCUCCAAAUGGCUUAAACCCAAGUGGCCGUGCCCCAGCCCCCUGUGUCCACCCUGACAUGUCUGCCAGAGCCAGUCCUGUCCCCCACACUGCCCCCCAAAGUCACCACUGCCUCCUCUACACCUGCUGCCAACACAUCCACGUGUCCUGUACCUCUUUCUACCCACCCAAAGCUUCUUUUUUCCCGGGGAGCCUUUUCCUGCUGAUGGCAGAUUUUCAUCUCAAAUUGUCUCUUUUUAUACCUUUCAUGCACAGGAAAUCGUCCCUCCCUGGGGAAAUGGGAUCACGGUGUGUGCUGCCAGGAGAGCCUAACGCUGCCAUCACUGCAAAGCCCCGGGGAACAGGUACAGAAGGGCACAGGAAUCUUGACAUGGGCUCUGCCAGAUCUCAUCAUCUGGGGAAGGAAUUUGAAAAAAAAUCUUCCCGGCUAAGUGGCAGAGCGUGGGAGAGGUUUUCAGAGAUGAUCUCACUGCAUCUCAGCUUGGACCUGCCACUCUCAGCCAGGGCUUGUCUGUUCUAGAUAUCCUACUGAAGAUGGGGUUUAUUUUGUUGCCCCUGCACCUCCUGGACCCUGCUGCCACCAGCCUGGUCGCCACUGGUGUCUUCCAUCCACAAUGGGAAGGCUGAACAUGGUGCUGGCUCCUGGGGUGCUUCUUGUGUGCCUUGGGGACUCCCCACAAUGCAACUGCACCUGCAGCGUCCUCUGAGGGAUUGAGCUGCUUUUGGAAAGCAUUGCAGAGGGUGCCAGGAUUAAUCCAUGCCUUGAAUUAAGGGACUCCUUCCUUUUUGUCUGCUUUGGCUUUUUUGUGUGUGCUCGAUUUCCCACGGAAAUGGCCAUAGGAGCACAACCCUUCUCGUCAAGACGUCCUCAGCUUUUCGACCUUCAGCAUUACCACGGCUUCAGCAAGGAGAGGGGGUGUUGGGGUCACCAAGACUCUGCUCCUCUGUUGUUGCUGGCCUCUCCUUUCUCGUCCCUUAGCUGCUGGCCUGAGGGUGCCUGCGGUCCCUGGCACAGCGAGGGCGAGGGUGACACCCAGACAAGCCCCCAUCAGCUUUUGUGUCCCCUCUCUGAGCUGCCCAACCUCAGAUGUCCCUCGGGAUGCCACCUCCUGUGGGAGCCUACUCGAGUGAUGCAGAGGAGGGAGGGGUGAAGGCUUUAGGAUGGAGAUGGGCAGAUUUUGGGGUCCUUUAACCUCUGCUGUCGUGCUGCUUUACCCCCAUCUCCCGAGCAGGGAGGCAUGGUGGGGCGCUGGAUUUGUGUCCCCCACCCCCAGGGGCACCAUACAGCGAUGGGGCUGAGGCAGAGCCACCCACCCCAGCUGGGUCCUCUGGAAAAUAAUGGGGGAAAAAAAAUCAAGACAAAUAAAUAAAAGCAAAGCCAAACAAGCCAGCUCCUUGGGGAGCCCGGGGCGGGCAGAGAUGCCUCGGGGACCCUCGGGGGGACCCGGCCGUGGGCAGCGGGGCCGGGGGGGCAGGUUUGCUGACACCCGGCACUCUCCCCCUCCCCGAUGCUUUAAUCACAUUUUCAAUUCAAAUCUGCUGCUAUUUGAUCCCCCGGGGGUGGCAGCGGGGAGGGUGGAGGAUAUUUUUAGCUGUGCUUAAAGCUGCCGGGGGGCGGAGGGAGAUCGCACAGGUUGCUGUGGCCGGGAAGAGUUGGAAGGGAUUCCCCCCAUACCCCCCCUUUCUUCUUUUCCUCCUCCUCUUCCUCCUCCUCCUCGUUGCACAUCUGAGGGCGGCAGCGGGGCUGGCUCUCCCCUCCCGGAGGUCGCCUUUGUUUUCCCCGUGUCGCUUCUGCCGAGCAGCCGAGGGGGCGGGAGCGGGCCGGGGCCGGGCUGGGCUGUGCCGGGCUGGGCUGGGCUGUGCUGGGCUGGGCUGGGCUGGACCGGCCGCCCCUUCUCGAUCUCGCCGAGUCGGUGCCGUUCCCCCGGGCGGCACUUUCCCCCCGGGCCGGGGCUGAGCAGCCGCCGCCCCCCGGGACCCCCAUGGCACCCCCCCCCCCCCCCCCCCCCCCCCCCCCCCCCCCCCCCCCCCCCCCCCCCCCCCCCCCCCCCCCCCCCCCCCCCCCCCCCCCCCCCCCCCCCCC
ensembl:lncRNA